AUAAUUGGUAGAGGUGCAAUGAUCAAUAGUAGCAAAAUGUAAUGUUUGGUGACAGCAUUUGCGAAAGGGUGAUUUGCCGAAGGAAAUAGUAACACCAAUUACUAUUUACCUGGGGGAUUAUAGAAGAUAUAAUUUCCUGUCACAUUCAUGUGGAGCGCUAUCUUAGUA
rfam:Coprobacillus sp. CAG:183 genomic scaffold, scf94